GAUUAUAAUUUGUUCCAUAUCCUUUAUUGUAAUUUCUUCCAUAUCCCGAAUUGUAGUUACUUCCAUAUCCCAGAAUUAUAUUUGGUUCCAUAUCCAGAAUUAAUGUUUGAUACAUACCCGCUAUUAUAAUUAUUUAAGUUUGAUCCAUACCCGCUAUUAUAGUUAUUUAGUUUCGAUCCAUACCCGCUGUUAUAGCUAUUUAAAUUUAAUCCAUACCCGCUAUUAUAGGUAUUUAGUUUCGAUCCAUACCCGCUGUUAUAGCUAUUCAAAUUCGAUCCAUAUCCGUUAUUAUAAGUAUUUAAGUUUGAUCCACUAUUAUAGGUAUUAAAGUUUGAUCCGCUAUUGUAGUUUUUUAAGUUAGAAUUGCUGUUAUAGCCCACGUUACCAGUAUAUGAAACAACACUGGAUAUGUUUAUGAUAAGCAAUACAUAUAAAAACCAAAUCUGCUGUAGUGAGUUCUGCAUAAUUUGAAUCUAC
rnacentral:lncRNA from 1 species